AAAACCAGAAGAUAAGAACCGCCUGGAUCUGCUCCACAAGAGGGCUCUGCGGCCAUGGGUUUGCUCCAUGCCGGUGCUGAGAAAGGCUCUGCCAUGGAAGAACCUGAAAACACGAGAGAUCACAAAAAAUCCUGUCCCCCUUCAGCUGGUCCAGAACACCUCUUGUGGGAAGGGGUGGCAGGAACAAACUAUAACUCUCAGCCUAGUUCUCCUUGAUGACAUCAUCCGGCAAAUAACAUGAUCAUGCGAUGGCUGAAGAAUAAAUCUGGCCUAUGGAAAUUUACCAGAAGGGGCUCUGUACCUCCAAGAGGGAACUUUCAGACUUCUGCAAGCUGAAGAAUGUUGAAAACCAUUGCUGUCCAGUGAGAGCAGAGCUUCGCUAAAGGCUGUUCCAGAGGGAAGAGAAGAAAACGCAUCAGUGAGGAGCUAGUCAUUGACAAAGAGCUGAGCAACACUUAGGGACAGAGCCUUCUAACACCUAACGCCCACGGAGAGAUGCAGCUGGGGAUUGAGAGUCACACGAAGUCCCCAGCGCACUCUUCUUUUCAAUACUUUCUGCCCCAAUCUGAUUUCCUUGUCAUUAAGUUCACCUUGAAUGUUGAAACUUUCUCUUGUGCCUUUCUGAUGUGAAAGACAGAGAAUCUCUGCCAGCAAGUACACCAAUCUGAGAACUUCUGAAUCAAAGGAUUGCGUUUUCUAAUGCCCCACUUAGAUACCAAAGUUUCCAUUCUUGAAGAAUUUUUGAGAACAGUCCGGUUCUUGCCCCAGAGGGAACUGCAUUCCCUAAUAGAUGAUAUGAUUCAUUAUCUCCUGACAUAACAGUUCUAGUGGUCCAGGAUAUGGCACACCUCAUCACACUGCAUCCGGUUAGGAUAUGGUCCAGUGACUACAUUGCAGCUGGUGGGCAAAUUCCCGGUUUGGAGAGGGAUUUUCUACAGUCAACAGAGCCUUGAGUAUAGUCCAAGUCAGUCUACAGUAGAUACCUAC